rnacentral:rRNA from 1 species
UAGUAAUCGUAGGUCAGCAUACUACGGUGAAUACGUUCCCGGGCCUUGUACACACCGCCCGUCAAACCAUGAGAGUUGGCAACACCCGAAGUCGGUAGUCUAACCGCAAGGAGGACGCCGCCGAAGGUGGGGUUGAUGAUUAGGGUUAAGUCGUAACAAGGUAGC